rnacentral:tRNA from 1 species
GGGCGAGUAGCUUAGUCUGGUUAGAGCGCUACGCUGAUAACGUAGAGGUCCCCAGUUCGAAUCUGGGCCCGCCCA